rnacentral:rRNA from 1 species
GAUGAACGCUGGCGGCGUGCCUAAUACAUGCAAGUAGAACGCUGAAGGAAGGAGCUUGCUCUUUCCGGAUGAGUUGCGAACGGGUGAGUAACGCGUAGGUAACCUGCCUGGUAGCGGGGGAUAACUAUUGGAAACGAUAGCUAAUACCGCAUAACAGUAGAUGUUGCAUGAUAUCUACUUAUAAGGUGCAAUUGCACCACUACCAGAUGGACCUGCGUUGUAUUAGCUAGUUGGUGAGGUAACGGCUCACCAAGGCGACGAUACAUAGCCGACCUGAGAGGGUGAUCGGCCACACUGGGACUGAGACACGGCCCAGACUCCUACGGGAGGCAGCAGUAGGGAAUCUACGGCAAUGGACGGAAGUCUGACCGAGCAACGCCGCGUGAGUGAAGAAGGUUUUCGGAUCGUAAAGCUCUGUUGUAAGAGAAGAACGAGUGUGAGAGUGGAAAGUUCACACUGUGACGGUAUCUUACCAGAAAGGGACGGCUAACUACGUG